UGACUAAAUUUUCAGAUGACUACUCCAUUCUUCACCAUUCACCUGGCUUGAGAAUGAACUGGCCAGCUGUUGCUAUUUCAGCUUAUCAUCAUUUUCUAUAUCACAUUUCAAGCAGACAUCACCUAUGAUAGAAAAUCAUACAGAAAUUCAGAUCUAGAAGACACCUCAGAAGCCAUCUGAAUAUCUUAAUAAUAGUUCCUUUUAUAGCCAUACCUGAAAAGUAGACAUACAGCCUUUACUUGCAUAUCUCCAGUGAAGAGGAAUCCAUGACCUCACAUCCUUUUUUUGGAAGUUUUUCCUACAGUCAAGCUUUAAUUUGUCUCAUCAUUUUUUAUAUUGCCCAACGUAUGAAAUAUAGAAGGUGUUUAAUAAAUAUUAGUUGACCAAA